CAAUAGCGUAUAUUUAAGUUGUUGCAGUUAAAAAGCUCGUAGUUGGAUUUCGGAUGGGAUUUGCCGGUCCGUCGUUACGAUGUGCACUGGCCAGUCCUAUCUUGUUGUCGGGGACUAGCUCCUUGGAUUCACUUCCUGGGACUAGGAGCUGACGAGGUUACUUUGAGUAAAUUAGAGUGUUCAAAGCAAGCCUACGCUCUGAAUACAUUAGCAUGGAAUAACACGAUAGGACUCUGGCUUAUCUUGUUGGUCUGUGAGACCAGAGUAAUGAUUAAGAGGGACAGUCGGGGACAUUCGUAUUUCAUUGUCAGAGGUGAAAUUCUUGGAUUUACGGAAGACGAACAUCUGCGAAAGCAUUUGCCAAGGAUGUUUUCAUUGA
rnacentral:rRNA from 1 species